CCUCAUUGGUUGUAAAAGGUCAGGACUUGCCAUCUUAAUGGUAAAGUAUGAAUACUUAUUGUUUCAUGGAGAGUUGCCAUCAUGUAUUAACAUACAUUUCUCAUUGGUUGUAGUUAUGUUGCAGUGGAGAUAUGUGGGCUGCUAUUGAUGGUGUAUCAAAGGCUUCUCAAGGUAGUGAAUAUUGGCAAUCAGUCCCAGUUUUGCAUGUCUGCACAGUACUGUACGAUGAAGCAUUACCUACAUUUCUACCUUUUACACAGUACUGUACGAUGAAGCAUUGCCUGCUAUUUUACAGGUUAUGAUUGAAGAUAUUGGGAAGCAGAUUAAGUAACUAUAAACCUACAAGGUGCAGGACAUUGAUUUACUUGACUAGAAUUGUUGAACUGUAAUUUGUUAUACUUUAUAAAUUUGUUUGCAUAUGGUGUAUUUUGAUUCAGUUAAUAUUGCAUUUGGUGGUGUAUUUUGAGGGGUGUACAAUUGGAGAAAGCUUCCUUUUAUUAUUAAUUAAUUUUUUUUUUGGGUUUUUUACAAGUUUUAAGGACACGUUUUGAACGUCCUCUAUGACUCUUUUAAGUGUCCUGUUUUAGUUUUAAGGACACAUAUGAGUGUAUUUUUUGUGUCCUCUUAUGGUUUUAAGGACUCCAUUUUCAGAGCUUUUAGGACACAGUUUGUGUGUCCUAGUAUAGAA